AUCACUUCUUGACCUUUUUGACUAAAAUCAAGUGUAAUAUCUGUUCUUAUCAGUUUAAUAUCUAAUACAUGGAUUUUUGGAGCAGGGAGAUGGAAUAGGAGCUUGCUCCAUCCACUCCACACAUGGACCUGGUAUUGCAGUACUCCAGGAUGGUGCAGGCCUC
rnacentral:snRNA from 1 species